GAGUAGGGAAUCUUCGGCAAUGGGCGAAAGCCUGACCGAGCAACGCCGCGUGAGCGAUGAAGGCCUUCGGGUCGUAAAGCUCUGUUGUUAGAGAAGAACAAGUACGAGAGUAACUGCUCGUACCUUGACGGUACCUAACCAGAAAGCCACGGCUAACUACGUGCCAGCAGCCGCGGUAAUACGUAGGUGGCAAGCGUUAUCCGGAAUUAUUGGGCGUAAAGCGCGCGCAGGCGGUCUCUUAAGUCUGAUGUGAAAGCCCACGGCUCAACCGUGGAGGGUCAUUGGAAACUGGGAGACUUGAGUGCAGGAGAGAAAAGUGGAAUUCCACGUGUAGCGGUGAAAUGCGUAGAGAUGUGGAGGAACACCAGUGGCGAAGGCGGCUUUUUGGCCUGUAACUGACGCUGAGGCGCGAAAGCGUGGGGAGCAAACAGGAUUAGAUACCCUGGUAGUCCACGCCGUAAACGAUGAGUGCUAGGUGUUGGGGGGUUCCACCCUCAGUGCUGAAG
rnacentral:rRNA from 1 species